AGUGAACGCUGGCGGUAGGCCUAAUACAUGCAAGUCGAGCGACAGCACGGUAAGCGCGUUCUUCUGAGGUUAGCGGGGGACGGACGGGUGAGAAAUACAUAGGAAACUAAUUAUUCGGGGGGAAUAACGGGGAAAAGCAUAUGCUAAUACCGCAUACGUCCUACGGGUUAAAGCAGGAGUGCAUGGGAGCUUGGCUGAUAGAAUGAGACGACGUCGGAUUAGCUAGUUGGCUGGGUAAGGGCACACCAAGGCGACGAUCCGUAGCAGGCCUGAGAGGAUGAUCAGCCACACUGGAACUGAGACACGGUCCAGACUCCUACGGGAGGCAGCAGUGGGGAAUAUUGGACAAUGGGCGCAAGCCUGAUCCAGCAAUACCGCGUGGGUGAAGAAGGCCUUUGGGUUGUAAAGCCCUUUUGUUGGGAAAGAAAAGCAGCAGGUUAAUACCCCGCUGUUCUGACGGUACCCAAAGAAUAAGCACCGGCUAACUUCGUG
rnacentral:rRNA from 1 species